CAACCACUGAGAGUAGUUGAUGACUCCAAUAAUGGAACUGCCAAGUAUUUUGAUUAUCUGUUCUAUAUUGACUUUGAGGCAUCUAUGGCAGAAUCUCGUGCACAAAAUGCUUUAGGUCAUUUGCAGGACUUUGCAACAUUUCUUCGUAUACUUGGAAGUUAUCCCAUAGACGCUGCUGCUUAGUUAGAUGCCAAAUGAAUAAUUUGUUCUGAUCCAGUGACCGGUGAAAGCCAGGGGAGUAAUUUACAACAUUGGAGUCAAUGUUUGGAACAGCUGGAAUUUCUUUUGCAAGAAGGGAGUGGUGAAUUGCAGCAUAGAAAUUGUAGGCAUCCAAGUCCUUCUCUGUACUGGAAUGGCAACCGCCCCGUCCUUCCCUACAUCAUCAUCAGCUACAUACAAUUCAACAAGUUGUCUGCAGAUCUUUCUGUUAUUUUAUGGGAGGGAUUUAAUUUGGGUACAGUUGAGAUGCAUACCUGCAGCAUCUAGUUUUCCUCCACAGCUCUACCAAUCCCCUAUACCCAGCGGAGAUCUUUGCAUUCUUGAUUCAUUAGUUGAAGCUGGAAGAAAAUCAUGAAUUGCUCUUAGUCGUUUUGAGUGCUUUCUUUCUACUGCUACACUGAAAAGUACUCUCAGCCAAGGCCAUACUUUAAUAAUCACAUAUAAUCAAAAGCACUUUUGAUCUA